AAUGAACGCUGGCGGUAGGCCUAACACAUGCAAGUCGAACGGCAGCACAGUAAGAGCUUGCUCUUACGGGUGGCGAGUGGCGGAAGGGUCAGGAAUACAUCGGAAUCUACUUUUUCGUGGGGGAUAACGUAGGGAAACUUACGCUAAUACCGCAUACGACCUACGGGUGAAAGCAGGGGAUCUUCGGACCUUGUGCGAUUGAAUGAGCCGAUGUCGGCUUAGCUAGUUGGCGGGGUAAAGGCCCACCAAGGCGACGAUCCGGAGCUGGUCUGAGAGGAUGAUCAGCCAGACUGGAACGGAGACAGGGACCAGACUCCUACGGUAGGCAGCGGUGGGGAAUAUUGGGCUAUGGAGGCGAGCCUGAUCCAGCCAUACCGCGUGGGUGAUGAACGCCUUCGGGUUGUUAAGCCCUUUUGUUGGGAAAGAAGAGCAGCAGGUUAAUACCCCGCGGUUCUGACGGUACCGAAAGAAUAAGCACCGGCUAACUUCGUG
rnacentral:rRNA from 1 species